ACAAGGCAUGUUUGGCAGCAAUUAGCUUUUGUAAUAUUGCUGCCAUUCAUACCUUACAA
rnacentral:pre_miRNA from 1 species